UUAAGCAUAUCAAUAAGCGGAGGAAAAGAAACCAACAGGGAUUGCCCUAGUAACGGCGAGUGAAGCGGCAACAGCUCAAAUUUGAAAUCUGGCUCCUUCGGGGCCCGAGUUGUAAUUUGUAGAGGGUGCUUUGGCGUUGGCCAUGGUCUAAGUUCCUUGGAACAGGACGUCACAGAGGGUGAGAAUCCCGUACGUGGCCGUUGGUCUUCGCCAUGUAAAGCCCCUUCGACGAGUCGAGUUGUUUGGGAAUGCAGCUCUAAAUGGGAGGUAAAUUUCUUCUAAAGCUAAAUAUUGGCCAGAGACCGAUAGCGCACAAGUAGAGUGAUCGAAAGAUGAAAAGCACUUUGGAAAGAGAGUCAAAAAGCACGUGAAAUUGUUGAAAGGGAAGCGCUUGCAGCCAGACUUGCUCGUAGUUGCUCAUCUAGGCUUCUGCCUGGUGCACUCUUCUGCGAGCAGGCCAGCAUCAGUUCAGGCGGUCGGAUAAAGGUCUUGGGAAUGUGGCUCUCUUCGGGGAGUGUUAUAGCCUAGGGCGUAAUGCGACCAGUCUGGACUGAGGUUCGCGCAUCUGCUAGGAUGCUGGCGUAAUGGCUGUAAGCGGCCCGUCUUGAAACACGGACCAAGGAGUCUAACAUCUAUGCGAGUGUUUGGGUGUCAAGCCCGAGCGCGCAAUGAAAGUGAACGGAGGUGGGAACCCGCAAGGGUGCACCAUCGACCGAUCCUGAUGUCUUCGGAUGGAUUUGAGUAAGAGCAUAGCUGUUGGGACCCGAAAGAUGGUGAACUAUGCCUGAAUAGGGUGAAGCCAGAGGAAACUCUGGUGGAGGCUCGCAGCGGUUCUGACGUGCAAAUCGAUCGUCAAAUUUGGGCAUAGGGGCGAAAGACUAAUCGAACUAUCUAGUAGCUGGUUCCUGCCGAAGUUUCCCUCAGGAUAGCAGUAACGUUUUCAGUUUUAUGAGGUAAAGCGAAUGAUUAGAGGCCUGGGGGUUGAAACAACCUUCACCUAUUCUCAAACUUUAAAUAUGUAAGAAGUCCUUGUUACUUAAUUGAACGUGGACAUUUGAAUGUACCGUUACUAGUGGGCCAUUUUUGGUA
rnacentral:rRNA from 1 species